UACGAGGGGGGCAAGCGGUUGUUCGGAAUUAUUGGGCGUAAAGGGCGCGUAGGCGGUGCGGUAAGUCACCUGUGAAAUCUCUGGGCCUCAACUCAGAGUCUGCAGGCGGAAACUGCCGUGCUGGAGUAUGGGAGAGGUGCGUGGAAUUCCCGGUGUAGCGGUGAAAUGCGCAGAGUAUCAGGAGGAACACCGGUGGCGAAGGCGGGUCUCUGGGCCGUAACUGACGCUGGAGGAGCGAAAGCGUGGGGAGCGAACAGG
rnacentral:rRNA from 1 species